AGUCUUGCUCUGUCACCAGGCUGGAGUGCCUUAGCCCAAUCUUGGCUUACUCCAACCUCUGCUUUCUGAGUUCAAGCGAUUCUUCCUCCUCUGCCUCCAGUGUAUCUGGGACCACAGAUGGGGUUUAACCAUGUUGGUCAGGCAGGUCUUGAACUCCUGCCCUCAAGUGAUCUGCCCGCCUUGGCCUCCAAAGUGCUUGGAUUACAGGCAUGAGCCACUACGCCUGGCCCAUAUGUUUAUUUAUUUUAUACGGAGUCUUGCUCUGUCACCAGGCUGCAGUGCACUGGCCCAAUCUUGGCUUACUGCAACCUCUGCCUCCUGAGUUCAAGCGAUUCUUCCUCCUCAGCCUCGGAGUAUCUGGGACCACAGGUGGUGAAGCCCUCUAUUGUCCUGACCCCACAGUUCCUGUCCCAUGACCAGGGCCAGCUCACCAAGGAGCUGCAGUAGCACAUAAAGUCAGUGCCAUCCCUCAUGCGAGUACCUGAGGAAGCCAAGACUGACUGUGAGAAACCCUGGGAGCUCAGGAAGGAAGGAGCCGCUCAGAAGCAGGGAUGGGAGCUGGUGGGAAAGACCAGAAGUCAGGCGAUCAGGUUUCUACUUGAUUAUUUGUAUCCUGGGCAUGACCUUCUUGGUGUUCUGUGGAUGCCUAUCCCUAUUGUGUUUCUGGGAGUUUCCACAGUUGGCCUUUUCCUCCGAAAAAUUAUCUUCUGUCUCCAUGCUGGAGCCUUGGAGAGGGAGAUGGCUGAGAGGAAGCCUGCCUACAAGCAGCACAGGAGGAGAAAGCAGAGAGUGCCAGAGAGACACGAGUGAGGAGCCAGCCCAGAAACGCCUGUGCACUGAGAACACUUUCUGGAGAGGUUAACAUGGCUGCCGCACAGCAUCAUCAUUGAUCAGCA
rnacentral:lncRNA from 13 species